UACGAAGGGUGCAAACGUUGCUCGGAAUUAUUGGGCGUAAAGCGCACGUAGGCGGCUUGGCAAGUCGGAUGUGAAAGCCCACGGCUCAACCAUGGAAGUGCAUCCGAAACUGCUGAGCUUGAGUACCGGAGAGGGUGGCGGAAUUCCCCAAGUAGAGGUGAAAUUCGUAGAUAUGGGGAGGAACACCGGUGGCGAAGGCGGCCACCUGGACGGAUACUGACGCUGAGACGCGAAAGCGUGGGUAGCAAACAGG
rnacentral:rRNA from 1 species